GUCCUGCUGGUCUAGUGAGAAGAACAACUUCCCACAAAGGAGCAGUGCAUGGGUUCGAAUCCUUAAGCAGGACU